rnacentral:rRNA from 1 species
GACGAACGCUGGCGGCGUGCUUAACACAUGCAAGUCGAACGGAAAGGCCCUGCUUUUGUGGGGUGCUCGAGUGGCGAACGGGUGAGUAACACGUGAGUAACCUGCCCUUGACUUUGGGAUAACUUCAGGAAACUGGGGCUAAUACCGGAUAGGAGCUCCUGCUGCAUGGUGGGGGUUGGAAAGUUUCGGCGGUUGGGGAUGGACUCGCGGCUUAUCAGCUUGUUGGUGGGGUAGUGGCUUACCAAGGCUUUGACGGGUAGCCGGCCUGAGAGGGUGACCGGCCACAUUGGGACUGAGAGACGGCCCAGACUCCUACGGGAGGCAGCAGGGGGGAAUAUUGCACAAUGGGCGGAAGCCUGAGGCAGCAACGCCGCGUGCGGGAUGACGGCCUUCGGGUUGUAAACCGCUUUCGCCUGUGACGAAGCGUGAGUGACGGUAAUGGGUAAAGAAGCACCGGCUAACUACGUG